GAAGAAGAAGAAGAAGAUCCUGGUCAUAUUUUUCCACAGCUUUCUUGAACUUUCUUUUUCAUUUCCAUUGUUUUUUUUUUUCUAAACCAAAAAAAAAGAUCUCUAAAAUUUAGCAUUUUGGAAACAAAGAAGAAGCUCAAGAAAGCUGUGGGAAAACAUGACAAUUCAGGGUUUUACUCCAUUGAUUC
rnacentral:pre_miRNA from 1 species